GACAGGUGCGCGGGCCGCGGGGGAGGGAGCGCGUGGCUGCGUGUCCAGCCCACGGGACUUCCCUGGCGCGCGCCAUGAGUCACGCCGACCCCGAGACCUGGCGCGCCCACUCGCCGUGGACUGAAAGGAGGAGGUCAGGGCUGGGCGGAAGCCGAGCUGGGCUCAGUCCACCCUGUGGUGGGAGCGUGAGCAGAGUCCAGCUUUGGAGAACCUGCUCCAGCCAGUUAAAAGCCCGCCCCGCCUCCUGCGCAAACCCGCAAAGCUAGGCCCCAUGCUACACUGUCGGAAGCCCACUCCCCCCAGCCUCCUGGAAUGGUGCUCCCCAUCAGAGCAGGACGUGCAGGGACCCCAGGGUCUGCCCUUGACACUUGGUGAUGUCUGCUUGUGGUCACAUGCCUGCUUGCCUCUAUCAGACACUGAGCCAGCAGAGGCCAGACAGCAAUAAUUUACGCCAGGAACCAAACAAAGGUGCCAGUGAGCAUUUUCCGGCCUGACCAGCCACUGCCCCGGCCCCGCGUUCUGCCACCCUUGGGGGUGGCCCUGCCUGGGCCGGGAGGCUGUCAGCUUCAGAACAGUGACUGCGGGGCUGAGGCCAGGACCCAGGCGGGAGGCCAGGAGCAGGCCCGGCUGCCUCCGCAAGUGGCCAGACAUUGGAAUUUCUUCUGGCUGUUAUCACAGGGCCCCUGGGCAACGGCGAGGUGACCUGGGCAGGUGGUCACCUUGGUCCCCAUGCACAGCCGUUGUCCUGUCUCUCCCUUCCUUCCCCCACCUAUCCCACAACCGUUCAUUUUUUAUUGUUUUUUUUAAAAAAUAUAA